UCCCUGUUAGCUCAGCUGGUAAAGAAUCUGCCUGCAGUGCAGGAGAUCUGGGUUCAAUCCCUGGUUUGGGAA
rnacentral:tRNA from 1 species